ensembl:lncRNA
UAGAACUUUAAAGAAGAAGUAGUGCCCUCGUAUCAACGUGGCGUUUGUGUCGAACUCGAUAAAGUUAAAAGAAAGAACUAUUCUGUUACGCCAAGGGAUCCAAGAAUUCCAGCCCCACUGUAUUGGCCCAUGGUAGAAGUGGUCAGAAAAUAACUUUUUGGACCUGUAUGCCAACACAUUUUGCUCAAAGUUGACCUGUUUUGAGUACCCUACCAUGAGACACCCAUGUCUCCAUCGGUUGAGACACCGCAUACUCUGGAAUACAGGGUGGGUGUAAUUUUAAUAAUACAAAUAUAAUUCAUAGAAUGACCUAUCCCUUCAGACCACUGCAAUUUAG